rnacentral:rRNA from 1 species
AUGUACACAACCAAGUUUGGCUUCAAUUUUCAGGCUGCUUACAAAAUGGUAUUUGCAUUGUCUUGGCCUGUUAUCUAUACUAAUUCUUCAUUUUUACUGAUUAGAGCUAUUAUCUAUACGCUUAUAUUGUCCUCUUCUGCAUCACUAAUGCCGCAGUUUGGUCAAGGAUGCACACAAAUCCCUCUUUAUCUAACUUCAGAACCAGCUGAACAUCCUCAAUAUAGGCAUAGCACCUCUCUACUCCAAACUCAACUUGAAUACAUCCUUUUCCACCACCCACAUGAACCGCCGACUUCUUUUGCACAUAACGACGACUCUGUUCAGGUUUGUACUAUUUUUCACAUUUAA